AGCGAACAAAAUCUUCACAGACGACGCCACGACGGGGAGACUCACGACGCUGAUCGGUGGUGGAUUAUCCGGCGACGGCUACUAUCUCGGACGGUGACUUCCGUUUCUUGCUCUCCAAAUAUCAAGUGAGACCAUUAUAUUGAACUCCUAGGUGUUCAACUGCAUGGCUUCUGGUCAAGAAACCGAUGACUCCUCAAAUAAUCAAAGCUCACCCAAGAAAGUAUACAAGGAUCCAGAUGAUGGGCGACAAAGAUUUCUGCUUGAACUUGAAUUUGUGCAAUGCCUUGCCAAUCCAACUUAUAUUCACUAUUUAGCGCAGAACCGUUAUUUCGAAGAUGAAGCUUUCAUUGGCUAUUUGAAGUACCUUCAAUACUGGCAACGACCAGAGUAUAUAAAAUACAUUAUGUAUCCGCAUUGUAUCUACUUUUUGGAACUUCUCCAAAAUGCAAGUUUCCGUAAUGCAAUGGCACAUCCAGCGAAUAAGGAGUUGACACACAGGCAGCAAUUCUAUUAUUGGAAGAACUACAGGAAUAAUCGGUUGAAACAUAUGUUACCAAGGCCCCUUCCUGAGACCACCGCUGCACCACCAUCUAAUGCACUUCCACCACCUAUACCGCCUUCAACUAGUACCAUUACCGCUGCUUCUGCCCCUGGGUCUGCGCCUCCAGUACACUCGCCAAUGCAGUAUGGGGUACCUUCUGGUCCACCUCUAGCCAAAAACGACCCAAGGAGUGGGAUUGAUAGACGAAAGAGAAAGAAAGACGGAUAAUUUCACAAGUUAUGUGCAAUACUUCAUGGUUGAUGAGACCCAAUACUCGAGGUCACAUUACCUUACUGGAUGAACAUGGCAAGGAUUGAGAAUCUUACCGAUAAGAGAAAUGGCAAGGACCUACAAAUCUUACCGGGAAGUGAGGGUGACGACUCUUACCCGGUUAGUGCUUACCGGGUAAAUUGUUCCAUACAAUGUCGUUUUGAUGGAGUAGAAUCUUACCCAUUAAGUUAAGUGAUAGUGUUGCAUUUUACUAGUAAGAGCUUUUCAGGUAAACUUUUGGAUAAACCGUCCCCAAGUAUUUGUAAUGUCUAUACAACUGUCUGGUCAACUUUAUGUUUGGGUUACACUUGGUCAAUGCGACCUUAGGUGCGACCUCAAGCUCAAGCUCAAGCUCAAGCAAAUUUCUCAUGGUUGGAUUGGCCUUUGGCUGGUUAUUUGAGAACUCAUGAGCGAGAUUCUAUUCAUAUUAGGUCUCUUGAUUCAUGCGGGCUCAAAGGCGACCAUCGACUUCAGUUGUGCUAUUUGUUUGUGUGAGUUUGGGGCUCAUUUCAUUAUACAGAACCUGGUCGACAACCAUUGUGCAUGUAUCACUGGUAUUGCCCCAUAAGGGAAC